rnacentral:rRNA from 1 species
GAUGAACGCUAGCGGCAGGCCUAACACAUGCAAGUCGAGGGAGAGGUUACCUUCGGGUAACCAAAACCGGCGCACGGGUGCGUAACGCGUAUACAAUCUGCCUUUCACAUAGGGAUAGCCCGAAGAAAUUUGGAUUAAUACCUAAUGGUAUAUAAGAGCGGCAUCGUUUUUAUAUUAAAGCUACGGUGGUGAAAGAUGAGUAUGCGUUCUAUUAGCUAGUUGGAGAGGUAACGGCACCCCAAGGCGACGAUAGAUAGGGGUUCUGAGAGGGAUGUCCCCCACACUGGUACUGAGAUACGGACCAGACUCCUACGGGAGGCAGCAGUGAGGAAUAUUGGACAAUGGUCGGAAGACUGAUCCAGCCAUGCCGCGUGCAGGAUGAAGGUCCUAUGGAUUGUAAACUGCUUUUGUAAGGGAAGAAUAAGGAGUACGUGUACUUUGAUGACGGUACCUUACGAAUAAGCAUCGGCUAACUCCGUG